UAGAGGCUGCCCCACCAAUGGCCAUACAGACAACUUACAUCUCAGCAGAAACUGGAGAGGACAGAGAAGCAGCCAGCACCUGACACUCCUUCCCAUGGGUGUCUUAAGCUCCUCCUCUCACUUGCCCCUCUCUCGAAAUAGCCAGAACUCCAAGGAGACUGGGGGAGAUGGUGCUCUGAAUUAACUGGGAAAUCUCUGAAGUGAUUGAAUCUGACUGGAAACGACUGGGUUACACUCUGUCAGCAGAAAUGGGGGCUUGAGAAAUGGGAGAUUUGGACAAGACCACACACAGAGGGAGGACGCCAUGUGAAGACGAAGGCAGAGAUUGGAGUGAUGUAUCUACAAGCCAAGGAAUACCAGAGAUGGCCAGCAAACCACCCGAAGACAGGGGAGAGGCAUGGAACAGAUUCUCCCUCAUAGCCCUCAAGAGGAAUCAACCUACCCACACCUUGAUCUUGGACUUCUAACCUCCAGAACUGUGUGAGAAUAAAUGCCUGUUGCUUAA